UGCCAGACUCCUACGGGAGGCAGCAGUCGGGAAUAUUGCGCAAUGGAGGAAACUCUGACGCAGUGACGCCGCGUGCAGGAAGAAGGUUUUCGGAUUGUAAACUGCUUUAGACAGGGAAGAUACAAGACAGUACCUGUAAAAUAAGCUCCGGCUAACUACGUGCCAGCAGCCGCGGUAAUACGUAGGGAGCAAGCGUUAUCCGGAUUUAUUGGGUGUAAAGGGUGCGUAGACGGGAAGGCAAGUUAGUUGUGAAAUCCCUCGGCUUAACUGAGGAACUGCAACUAAAACUAUCUUUCUUGAGUGCUGGAGAGGAAAGUGGAAUUCCUAGUGUAGCGGUGAAAUGCGUAGAUAUUAGGAGGAACACCAGUGGCGAAGGCGGCCUACUGGGCUUUAACUGACGCUGAAGCACGAAAGCGUGGGUAGCAAACAGGAUUAGAUACCCUGGUA
rnacentral:rRNA from 1 species